rnacentral:RNase_P_RNA from 2 species
ACAGCUCAAAAGCUACGAGGCUCACCACGCACAAGACACGUCUCGCACGCGUCUUCCCUUCUGAGCGGGAUAAGGUCUGAGUGUUCCAAUCUCCCUCGAUCGUCCCUAGAUGGGACCAGUCUUCAUGGGCUGAGCGACGUACCAGAAAAACAGUUGCGCGAAGCGUCCAACUUUGAAAGGCGUCGUGGAGAUCGGGCGGGUGGAGUUUUUCUCUUUCCUUACCAUCAUACGCAGAUCGGUGCUCUCUCUAUCGCGGUCGGCCGUGCCCUCUUGUGGGCGCACAACUGUGGUCGCUGUUCAGCUUAGAGCUGAUUCAGCAGUGUGGAUCAAUUGGCACCUCGGGAUACGUACCUGAGGAGAGGAGCAGCACAGCCAUACAGCUGAUCGCUAAAUGGGCCAGCAAGCCCACCGUUAACGGGAUUAUGAAUCUCAGGCGAAAGGUCAUCCGUCGAUGGGGAAUCUCCCCAAGUGACGUUACCGUCACCCUCCGUGAUUACACAUCACCUGGACUUGUACAAGUCCCCUGACAUUUUUGUCAGUACUGGGAAAUCCAGUCGGCUCCGUCAAUCCCGGCCGCGUUGUCCAUAUGCUGUAUUAACCAGUGUCACGACCGUCGUACCAUAUCGGAGCGAUGGGUGUGUGCCGUAUGAGGAGAGGAGCUGAUCUGUCGUCUUGGUAUAGGACCACCCGUCCUUUAGUUCACUUCGUGGCUCGCAGUCCUUGGUCGAUUGUGAAACUCGAUUCAGACUACUCUUGAACUAU